AGAGAAGUUUCCGUCUCAUUUAGAAACCAUAAGACAUGCUGAUAAAUUUACAGACCAUUUGAAGUAAAUUGGCUGAGCAGUAUAUUUGUCAUAUUUUGGUAUAUUUCAGGAGACUUUCGGUGGCUAUAACCCUACACUUAAAAACAACAACAGUGUCGAAGACUUCCGAUGGUUUCACCCGUGUAUUUCCCGUAAAGAGGCCACUCUAUUGUUCGAUGAUCAACCGGAAAGACAGUAUCUUGUUAGGCGAAGUGAAUCAUUUCCCGGGGACUAUGUGCUGUCAUAUGCAAGUGACGGAUUGAAACAUAUCAGGAUUUCUAUGGAAAGAGGGAAGUAUUACGUUAUUGGAGAGACGCCUAGAUUUGAUAGUCUCCAACAAAUAGUAGCUCAGAAAUGUAAUGAUUUCAGUCCAAUAUACAGAGACGACGAUAUCCAUAAUCUACCAUGGUUUCACGGAGUAAUGUCCCAUGCAGAAGCCUAUCAUCUGUUAAAUGGCCAACCUGAAGGAAGGUUUCUUCUUAGGCAAAGUGAGAACUAUCUCGAUAGAUAUGUGUUAUCGUUUGUAUGUACCGGAUUGAAACAUAUCAGAUUUUUUAUAAAAGAUGGGAAAUAUUAUACUGAUGACGUUACUAGUUUU